rnacentral:rRNA from 1 species
CCCUUAGAUGUUCUGGGCCGCACGUGCGCUACACUGACGAUGGCAACGAGUUUUUCCUUCGCCGAAAGGUGUGGGUAAUCUUUUGAAACAUCGUCGUGCUGGGGAUAGAUCAUUGCAAUUUUUGAUCUUGAACGAGGAAUUCCUAGUAAGCGCGAGUCAUCAGCUCGCGUUGAUUACGUCCCUGCCCUUUGUACACACCGCCCGUCGCUACUACCGAUUGAAUGGUUUAGUGAGGACUCCUGAUUGGCGCCGCCGCCCCGGCAACGGAGCAGCGGACUGCCGAAAAGUUGUUCAAACUUGAUCAUUUAGAGGAAGUAAAAGUCGUAACA